rnacentral:rRNA from 1 species
GGGUUGUGAGGUUAAGCGACUAAGCGUACACGGUGGAUGCCCUGGCAGUCAGAGGCGAUGAAGGACGUGCUAAUCUGCGAUAAGCGUCGGUAAGGUGAUAUGAACCGUUAUAACCGGCGAUUUCCGAAUGGGGAAACCCAGUGUGUUUCGACACACUAUCAUUAACUGAAUCCAUAGGUUAAUGAGGCGAACCGGGGGAACUGAAACAUCUAAGUACCCCGAGGAAAAGAAAUCAACCGAGAUUCCCCCAGUAGCGGCGAGCGAACGGGGAGCAGCCCAGAGCCUGAAUCAGUGUGUGUGUUAGUGGAAGCGUCUGGAAAGGCGCGCGAUACAGGGUGACAGCCCCGUACACAAAAAUGCACAUGCUGUGAGCUCGAUGAGUAGGGCGGGACACGUGGUAUCCUGUCUGAAUAUGGGGGGACCAUCCUCCAAGGCUAAAUACUCCUGACUGACCGAUAGUGAACCAGUACCGUGAGGGAAAGGCGAAAAGAACCCCGGCGAGGGGAGUGAAAAAGAACCUGAAACCGUGUACGUACAAGCAGUGGGAGCACGCUUAGGCGUGUGACUGCGUACCUUUUGUAUAAUGGGUCAGCGACUUAUAUUCUGUAGCAAGGUUAACCGAAUAGGGGAGCCGAAGGGAAACCGAGUCUUAACUGGGCGUUAAGUUGCAGGGUAUAGACCCGAAACCCGGUGAUCUAGCCAUGGGCAGGUUGAAGGUUGGGUAACACUAACUGGAGGACCGAACCGACUAAUGUUGAAAAAUUAGCGGAUGACUUGUGGCUGGGGGUGAAAGGCCAAUCAAACCGGGAGAUAGCUGGUUCUCCCCGAAAGCUAUUUAGGUAGCGCCUCGUGAAUUCAUCUCCGGGGGUAGAGCACUGUUUCGGCAAGGGGGUCAUCCCGACUUACCAACCCGAUGCAAACUGCGAAUACCGGAGAAUGUUAUCACGGGAGACACACGGCGGGUGCUAACGUCCGUCGUGAAGAGGGAAACAACCCAGACCGCCAGCUAAGGUCCCAAAGUCAUGGUUAAGUGGGAAACGAUGUGGGAAGGCCCAGACAGCCAGGAUGUUGGCUUAGAAGCAGCCAUCAUUUAAAGAAAGCGUAAUAGCUCACUGGUCGAGUCGGCCUGCGCGGAAGAUGUAACGGGGCUAAACCAUGCACCGAAGCUGCGGCAGCGACACUAUGUGUUGUUGGGUAGGGGAGCGUUCUGUAAGCCUGUGAAGGUGUGCUGUGAGGCAUGCUGGAGGUAUCAGAAGUGCGAAUGCUGACAUAAGUAACGAUAAAGCGGGUGAAAAGCCCGCUCGCCGGAAGACCAAGGGUUCCUGUCCAACGUUAAUCGGGGCAGGGUGAGUCGACCCCUAAGGCGAGGCCGAAAGGCGUAGUCGAUGGGAAACAGGUUAAUAUUCCUGUACUUGGUGUUACUGCGAAGGGGGGACGGAGAAGGCUAUGUUGGCCGGGCGACGGUUGUCCCGGUUUAAGCGUGUAGGCUGGUUUUCCAGGCAAAUCCGGAAAAUCAAGGCUGAGGCGUGAUGACGAGGCACUACGGUGCUGAAGCAACAAAUGCCCUGCUUCCAGGAAAAGCCUCUAAGCAUCAGGUAACAUCAAAUCGUACCCCAAACCGACACAGGUGGUCAGGUAGAGAAUACCAAGGCGCUUGAGAGAACUCGGGUGAAGGAACUAGGCAAAAUGGUGCCGUAACUUCGGGAGAAGGCACGCUGAUAUGUAGGUGAAGUCCCUUGCGGAUGGAGCUGAAAUCAGUCGAAGAUACCAGCUGGCUGCAACUGUUUAUUAAAAACACAGCACUGUGCAAACACGAAAGUGGACGUAUACGGUGUGACGCCUGCCCGGUGCCGGAAGGUUAAUUGAUGGGGUUAGCGCAAGCGAAGCUCUUGAUCGAAGCCCCGGUAAACGGCGGCCGUAACUAUAACGGUCCUAAGGUAGCGAAAUUCCUUGUCGGGUAAGUUCCGACCUGCACGAAUGGCGUAAUGAUGGCCAGGCUGUCUCCACCCGAGACUCAGUGAAAUUGAACUCGCUGUGAAGAUGCAGUGUACCCGCGGCAAGACGGAAAGACCCCGUGAACCUUUACUAUAGCUUGACACUGAACAUUGAGCCUUGAUGUGUAGGAUAGGUGGGAGGCUUUGAAGUGUGGACGCCAGUCUGCAUGGAGCCGACCUUGAAAUACCACCCUUUAAUGUUUGAUGUUCUAACGU